rnacentral:rRNA from 1 species
GAAAUGCGAUAAGUAAUGUGAAUUGCAGAAUUCAGUGAAUCAUCGAAUCUUUGAACGCACCUUGCGCUCCUUGGUAUUCCUCGGAGCAUGCCUGUUUGAGUAUCAUGAAAUCUUCAAAAUAAAUCUUUUGUUCACUCAAAUUGAUUUUAUUUUGGACUUGGAGGCUUGCAGAUUCACGUCUGCUCCUCUUAAAUUUAUUAGCUGGAUCUCGGUGAGCUCGGUUCCACUCGGCGUGAUAAGUUACUUAAUUCACUGAGGACACUCUAUAACCAAAGGGGUGCCAGGGUAAAUGCAGAUGAACCCGCUUCUAAUAGUCCAUUGAUUUGGACAAAAUAUAAUAAUGAUCUGAUCUCAAAUCAGGUAGGGCUACCCGCUGAACUUAAGCAUAUCAAUAAGCGGAGGAAAAGAAACUAAC